ACAGUGAAUGUUAAACAGAGGAACAAUCAAGUGCACGGUUGCCCUUUACAUACAAAGGCGAGAAGGAAGAGCAGCAUAAUAAAUCAGUAAAUUGGAAACAGUGGUUAACCUGUAAUGAGAACCUUUUAAAUCACUUACAUGUGACUAAUAGACAUGACUCUGCUGUUCUUGGACUGUGUGAUUAAGCUGGUCUUGAUAGAACUUGGUGGUGAAAAGCAAACAAUGCUUCCAAAGGAUACAGAUGAUCACCGGAACAGCAGUGGCCAUCCUGCCCACCUCCGUGUCUUUCUGCAUGAUUUUCUUAAUGCGACCCUGAAUGGAAGAUCAGCACAGGAUGGCUCAGGGUCAGGAGCCUCCAGGCAGAGAAGAAGGAAAAAACUAACAAAUGCCUAAGAAACCUUAGGAAUUACUCACGGGAAGUCCAGCGUCUGAAGUGAAGAAAGCCGAGAAGUCGAGGUGAUCUUCACGUCGGCCACGCCCACACACCCACAAUUACGUCAAAAUUUUAUUUUUAAUCAAAAAAGAAAAAUUUUAUUUGGGUGACUGAAUAUACGUUUAGCCAUGUUUUUUUGUUGUUGACUCUUUUCAUAAAACAACAUCUGAUCAUCCAGACACAAUGUCUUGAGCUUUAAAUGUAUUUAUUAUUAAUAUAUAUAUUUUUUUAUAAACAUACAUAUUUCGGCUAAAAGUUGAGCCAGAUGUAUGUCGUCGAAUCAUUUUAUAAUUAUUAGUUUAAUAAUGUGGAAAAAGUAUAGCAUAAUAAAAAUAAGGGAAUACAAUUAUAUUACGCAUUUCAUUGACGAGAUCUCUAACUCAGAUCAGUGAUUAAACGUAGCCAGUGGUUCGCGAUGGAUUUAUUUAAGACUUAGAUAAGUCUAUAUAUCCAUAGCUUCCAUACUGCCAUCAACUGAAAUCAAAUCAAGUAAUCACCAGCAGAGGGCAAAAUAACUACACUCGGUCUAUUAAUCAGGCGAGAGUUGGGAUGAAAUGCCAAAACAUCUAGCGACAUUUAGCGGCGAUUGUCUGAAAUACAACUCAGCUCUUGACGCGUGGAAGAUCCACAUCCGAUGAUGACGUGAGAUAAUGCGUUUGGAAAUGAAGGUUAUAUUAAAAUGCAUGAACUCGAUUACAGUAACUUCUCAUCAGAUUGGCGUGAAAGUGAUUAUGAAUUAAUAGAGUUACAGUUUCCAGUGUACAAUUGAUAAAACCUAGUUACUGAGCACGAUUAGAAAAUACGAUAAUGACCAAUCCUGAAACUAUGACAGCGGUGCUGAUGGAAGCUGAUGCGUUGUAACUGUAGAGGAAGGAAAUCUAGAUCUAGUGUGCAAGAUCUCGAAAAUAGACACAGCCUCCAGUACCCUAAGGGGAUAU